GAAAAAAGGUUUUAAAUCUCGAAAACCCUCUCUCUUUGUCUCUUCCCCGACCGCGUAGUUUAGUUCGAAGCCUCGAAUCCAAAAUCAAUGGCGAACGACCAAGAGAUGAGUGGUUGGACUGAUCUUCUCCAUUCUUCGUCGAAGCUUCUGGAGCAAGCUGCUCCUUCUUCUCAGUUUCCUCCUCUUCAGAGAAAUUUAGAUCAGUUGGAAGCGUUAUCGAAGAAGCUCAAGGCUAAAACCCUAAGGAACGAAGCUCCUUCUCAGUCUAUUGCUGCCACUAGACUACUCGCACGGGAGGGAAUCAAUG